rnacentral:rRNA from 1 species
AUACGUAGGUGACAAGCGUUAUCCGGAUUUACUGGGCGUAAAGGGCGUGUAGGCGGUCUUGCAAGUCAGAAGUGAAAUUCCUGAGCUCAACUCGGGCGCUGCUUCUGAAACUGCAGGACUUGAGUGCUGGAGGGGAUAGCGGAAUUCCUAGUGGAGCGGUAAAAUGCGCAGAUAUUAGGAAGAACACCGGUGGCGAAGGCGGCUAUCUGGACAGUAACUGACGCGGAGGCGCGAAAGCGUGGGGAGCAAACAGGAUUAGAUACCCUGGUAGUCCACGCCGUAAACGAUGGAUACUAGGUGUGGGGGGACUGACCCCUUCCGUGCCGGAGUUAACACAAUAAGUAUCCCACCUGGGGAGUACGGUCGCAAGAUUAAAACUCAAAGGAAUUGACGGGG